GCGAUAUCUUCCUCUUCCGCCACUGCCACACCGGCGUCCGGCGUCGCGCCAACGGCCGGGUCCACGAGUCUUGAGUCUGUUGGGCGGGAAAAGUUCAGGAGUUUUGUUUUUGUUUUUGUUUUUAAGAUUUUUAGACUUGAAAAGAUGCUAACUCUUUAUUCAUAAUCAGAUAGAUGCAAAUUAAAACUACAAUGAGCAUCGUGUUUCCCUUCUUGGAUCGGCAAGUAUCAAGAUGUUAACAAGCUAUGGUGCAGUGAGCAGGAUCAUCAGAAGCCACUCUGUUGAGAAAGGGAGUCCGGAAAUCUGGUAUGCUGGCAAAACACGGCGUGUUGGGGCCCACAAUACUAUACUCCAAGAUGAAGGUGUCAGAAGCAGCUCCAGAAAUAAUUUUUUCUAUGACAUUUUGCCCUUUUGUCUCUGGCCCCUUG